UUAAUUCGCUACUUACAGUUUUACAAUGUUGCUUUAAAUCAAAUAUUUACUCGCUUUGUUUUUCAGGUCCGCCAGUGAAAAAAGAUCCGACUGACUUCACAACGAUCAACACCGUUUAUGAGGAGAUCAGCGAGAAGGACAGASAGAACAAACCUCCUGCUGCGGAAAUAUCUUCAGUUUACGUUUACGUCCAACCCAACAAACCAAACGCAGCUCAGAGCAACGAAAUAUACAGCCUGGCCAGCGAACCACAGGGGCAAGUUAAAGAGGAUGACAUUGAGUACUCUGAAGUGCAGCUGCCAAACGUUGCCACCAGAUCGAACGGCGGCCAUCUUGCUGCGUCAGACAACGUCACCUACUCAGAACCUCGGUUAGCCACGAGCUCUGGUAGCCAUGGCAACGCGUCACCUCCUCUUUAUUCCACCAUUACUUUGCAAGAGUAGCUUUGCUGUGGAUCUGCUGUUUGUUCGUCCUGAGAGAAAACUCAAACUCAUUAGCUCUAUAAUUAGCCYUGUGCUAACAGUCACUAAAACUGUAAAUUUAAUKAAUAUGCUUUUUGAGGACACAUGCUAACCUGUUGUACUGGACCWUAAAAUCCAUAUAAUAUGGACUCAGAAACGGACAAUAUCAAAAUCAGUCCACAUGGUGAUUCUUUGAGCGUUUAAUAUUCAAUAUCUGAGUUUAACAUGGCAGUUUUUGUUUUUCACUCUCUGUUAACCGAGAUCACAGAAACGUCAACAGAUGGAGCUGAGAAGGAUUUUAUCCUAUUAUUGCAACAACCUGCAGUSAAAAUACUGAAAACUCAGGUCAGUGCGACUCCGUUCAUCAAAUAAAACGUAAUUGUUGAUGCUUUUUMAUUUCUKUUUGGAAUCAAUUUUUGAUUURAAUUUGCUACCUACAAAGCUAAUGCUGGAUGCUAAUUUAGAUUUUCUUCUAUUUGUGRCACGGAUGCUGCUUUGCACGUUUCUUGCCUGUAUUUUCAGUUUACAUCWGUUAGAAUAGUUAGCAAGUAUUUUCAUUAUUUUAAACAUUUUCURAUUGCUAUGCAUAAAUUUAGGCAAUAUUUAUUACCAUUAUUGUAUAUUUGUAAAAUAGGCAAAUAAAUAUCYGUGAUGCUGGUUAAUAACUGUAAUUUAGUUGCACUCUGUAAAAUGCCUGCAUAAAGCAAUGAAGCAACUUCCAGUCAAACRUUUUGACGUUAUUGUUAAAAUGAAUGAGGGCAGAACUUAAAAACUGUGCUUCAGUUUGUGGUGGAAACGCACGAAAGAGGAACUGAAACAAUACAGCAGCACCAARAGGUCAAAAUGUGGUGCAGAAAUAUUAUUUUARAAAAGUACAGGAUGGAAGAAGAGAUUUUACUGGAUAUGCAUGUGUGGUUAUUGGAAUAAGAUUACUAAUAUAGUUCAAUAUUAAACCUGAUUAAUGUUUGGUUUAUUAGAAAAGUCUUCAGUUUGACGUCAGCUCAAGGGUUUGUGUUUUAGCAGAUGUGAGUCCGGAUACUAGACAGGAUGUGGUUUAUAGAAGAUUCUUCUUCUUUUCAAUUUGUCCAAGUAACAGUUGCAUGGUUCUGCUUUUAAUCAACCAGCAUUUAAUACUACUUCUCAUCUCAGUGAACAGUAGUUUCACUUGUUUCAGAAGUACAACCUAUAAUAAUCUUUUAUGAUCAAAUCAACAAGCCAAAAAAAUUAAAGACGAGAUGAAAUAUAACCAUAUGACUGAAAUAUAAUAUUAGUGAAAUGAUGUGGAUGCAAAAAAGAUUCCCAUGAUUUGUUCAUGGAGAGCUGGUAGAGCACCGACUCUGUCAAAGUGACCUAAUUUCCUGAAAACCAAACACUAGUGAUGCAUUGUUGUUACCUUUGACCUAUAYAUUGUAGUUGUUUACGUCACACAUGCAAAGGUUUGUCGACAAGGAUGCAMAUAUUUCUGUAAUUACAUGCAUCCGUUUACGUGUGAAACAAAACAUAAAAGAUAGAAUAUGAACUGAAAUUGAUGACCGCUAGUAAUAUUUAAUAGAUAUGUGGUAUUAUUGUUUGUGGUGUCGUUCUCCUAUGUGAAGUUUGUUUGGCUGUUUUAUGUUGAACAUGUAUAAAAUUAAAUAUAUUUUCACUGA